rnacentral:misc_RNA from 1 species
GUAGGUGAACCUGCGGAAGGAUCAUUAUCAAUAAGCGUUUCCUUGAGUCAUUUAGAUGGCUUGGGGGAUUGUUUUUUGUGCACUGUUUUUUUUUAUCUUGAUGUUUUUCAUUAAGAUGAAUUUUGAUUUUCUUAUACUUUCUUUAUUUUAAUUGUAAUUCUAUUACAAAUAAUUAAAUUAAAAAAAGACAACUUUCAGCAAUGGAUCUCUUGGCUCUU